rnacentral:snoRNA from 12 species
UGGAGGACUGAGAAGGUGAGGCAGUCCUGUGCCAUGCUGCCUUCCACUGGUUAUGACCUCCGAAAGCAAAGGGCUGCCCAGGCAGCGCACGUCCCUCUGCCACCCUCAGAGGGGCAGCACUGUGCUGGCUGACAUUUG